rnacentral:rRNA from 1 species
GUGGGGAAUAUUGGACAAUGGGGGGAACCCUGAUCCAGCCAUGUCGCGUGUGUGAAGAAGGCCUUUUGGUUGUAAAGCACUUUAAGCGAGGAGGAGGCUACCGAGAUUAAUACUCUUGGAUAGUGGACGUUACUCGCAGAAUAAGCACCGGCUAACUCUGUGCCAGCAGCCGCGGUAAUACAGAGGGUGCAAGCGUUAAUCGGAUUUACUGGGCGUAAAGCGCGCGUAGGUGGCCAAUUAAGUCAAAUGUGAAAUCACCGGGCUUAACUUGGGAAUUGCAUUCGAUACUGGUUGGCUAGAGUAUGGGAGAGGAUGGUAGAAUUCCAGGUGUAGCGGUGAAAUGCGUAGAGAUCUGGAGGAAUACCGAUGGCGAAGGCAGCCAUCUGGCCUAAUACUGACACUGAGGUGCGAAAGCAUGGGGAGCAAACAGGAUUAGAUACCCCAGUAGUCC